ACCUACGGGACGCAGCAGUGAGGAAUAUUGGUCAAUGGUCGGGAGACUGAACCAGCCAAGCCGCGUGAGGGAUGAAGGUACAGAGUAUCGUAAACCUCUUUUGUCAGGGAACAAAGGCGGGGACGCGUCCCCGGAUGAGUGUACCUGAAGAAAAAGCAUCGGCUAACUCCGUGCCAGCAGCCGCAGUAAUACGGAGGAUGCGAGCGUUAUCCGGAUUUAUUGGGUUUAAAGGGUGCGCAGGCGGUCUUUUAAGUCAGCGGUCAAAGCCCGGGGCUCAACCCCGGCCCGCCGUUGAAACUGGCAGG
rnacentral:rRNA from 1 species